CCAUAAGAAACCCAACGACAAACAUCGAUUUCCUCGCAUCGGGCAGCAAGGGAGAAAAUCACCCGCCCCGCCAGCCAAUAUGCAUGCAGGCUUCGCGUCCGACUGAGAAACAAAAAUAGUUCAGAUGACAGCCGACGCUGACAAAGUGGCCAACCCACACCUCCAAUAAAUGAGUCACCACCGCGAUAAAAAAAAAUAAACUCGACAUCCGAUUCCUCAUCAGGCCCUGUUCGGCAGUGGGCGGUGUAAGGGGCAAUGAAAAAAAUAAUGGCGUAAUGUAUGUCAACCUGGACUGAAGGCUGACCAACUGUAACCAAACGACUGGCUUAGGUCAAGUCGGAAUCCGUUCUUCCUACUAUCGAACAUUUUUGAGUUUCGUUCCGUCACGUCACGUCACAUCCAUGCCACAUGCAAGUCACACCUGCCAAUCCGACAUGGACAAGGGACCCCGAAACCCCAAGAACGAGAGGAAAAAAAAGUUAAUAUUUUUUUCACUUCAGAUGGUAUUGGUGAAAAGAUGUGUGUUCGAAUAAAGGGCGGUAAGGAAAGAAGAAGUCAGGGGAGGUUGGCUCCGUCACAGUGGAAUCAUGACCACGGUGAGGUUUCCGGAUUGGAUGAAGUUGUGACGCUCGAAUAACGCGCGAAAACGCAUUGCGUCUUGUCUCUCCCGAGUAAUUCCUUCGGGUCCGCGACACCGCUCUUUCACAUGACGUCUUUGUAGAAAAUUCCGAGGAAAAUUAAAAAGUUAAUGCCGUAUUCGUUUCCUAGAGUCUCUCCUCUUGCUCGGGGAAAAAAACCAAUGAUACACUCGGGAUCGAAACAAGCGAGCCAAUGCACAUUCCAUGCAUAUGCUCACUCAAAAGUUCUUCCUUCCUCAGUAACAGAUGUUGGCGUACUUUGCUUCGUUGUCUGGUUGGAGGUGGUAAGGCUGGAGGUUAUGUUGGAAGGUAGAUAAAUGGGAAAUGUGUCGAGUUAAUACAUGUGAUAAGAAAAGUAAACAUUGAGCACACGUCAACUCAACCAGAGGGCGACUUGGUGGAAUUCGAAGAGGAGGAAGAUGAUGAGGCAGUUCUCCGCUUCUUGUCCGUAACCACGCGUCGCUUUCUUCGUUUCCCGCUCUGUUGCUCAGCAGCUAGUAUUUGGGCGGCUCGUACUGCUUGUUGUGCACGGAGCUGAGCAUGAGCAUUGGCAAGAUAUCUUUGUCGUCGCUCUUCGAAAGAGAUCCUCGUCUGACAGGUAGGCGCUGGCUGUGGAGUCUGAGUCAGAAAAGAGGGAGGACCGGUUGGGCCAGGAGGGAAAGGCGCAUGAUGUGUUUCUGCCCGAUGUCAUGGAGAAAGAGCUUUUGCGGGGAGCAAUAUCAAGUAGAGAGUCGUUGGGAGAUGGCGGAGGAGGUGGAGGAAGAGAGGAGGGUGAGCCAGAUGGCGAGGAGAGCGUGCUAUUGAAGCUGAAUCCGUACCACAUUUUGCUGGAGGUAGUAGCAGUGUUGUGUGGUGGAUGUGGAUGUUUGACGUUAUAGUCGUAGUAGCAGUAGCAGCAGCAGUUGAGGUAUUUCUCGGAUGGCUUCUGCCAUAAGAUAUGUAAUGAUAAUAUGGUAUGGUGGUAUGUUGAAAGAGGUAAGUUGGAAGUCAGCAGCAGGAUGUGAAGAGUCUGGGGGAGGUUUAUAUAAAACCUGGGGGAGGAACAGUGGAAAGGAGGCUAUUCAGGAUUAUUCAGGGUACGAAUGAGGCGAUCGAGACAAUCAACCCAGACGGGCGGGACGGCGGUAUUGAUAUAUAGGAUCUUGUUUGGCGGGCUAGGCAAAUAACAAACAAAAAAAACCGUU
rnacentral:sRNA from 2 species